AGGACGAACGCUGGCGGCGUGCUUAACACAUGCAAGUGGAGCGACGAACCAGGGCUUGCCCUGGGGCAGAGCCGCGAACGGGUGAGUAACACGUGGGUUACCUGCCUCGAUGACCGGGACAACCCGAGGAAACUCGGGCUAAUACCGGAUGUGCCCGCAAGGGGAAAGGAAGCUUCGGCCUCCGCAUCGAGAUGGGCCCGCGGCCCAUUAGCUUGUUGGUGAGGUAAAGGCUCACCAAGGCUUCGAUGGGUAGCUGGUCUGAGAGGACGAUCAGCCACACUGGGACUGAGACACGGCCCAGACUCCUACGGGAGGCAGCAGUGGGGAAUCUUGCGCAAUGCGCGAAAGCGUGACGCAGCAACGCCGCGUGGGGGAAGAAGGCUUUCGGGUUGUAAACCCCUUUCAGUUGGGACGAAGCUCCGCCGGUGAAUAGCCGGACGGAGUGACGGUACCUUCACAAGAAGCACCGGCUAACUACGCGCCAGCAGCCGCGGU
rnacentral:rRNA from 1 species